rnacentral:rRNA from 1 species
GACGGAGGAUGCAAGCGUUAUCCGGAAUGAUUGGGCGUAAAGCGUCCGCAGGUGGCAGUUCAAGUCUGCUGUCAAAGACCGAGGCUUAACUUCGGAAAGGCAGUGGAAACUGAACAGCUAGAGUAUGGUAGGGGCAGAGGGAAUUCCUGGUGUAGCGGUGGAAUGCAUAGAGAUCCGGAAGAACACCGGUGGCGAAGGCGGCCUGCUGGGCAGUUUUGCUGACACUGAGGCGCGACAGCGUGGGGAGCAAACAGG